GAGAAAGCUCCGCCCCUGGGAGUAGAGCGAUGGUUCCGGUAUCGACCCUGGGGCCUGGGAGUCGGCCGGAAACAGAGGUGCUGAGUUGUGAUCGAGGAUACGCCUAAGGCCAACAGGUUUAUAUGAAAAAAGAAUCAAAGAAUAUGCAGCAGAGACCCUGUGGAUUCCAGAAAACCUAAAAACGGUACCUACCCUUCACAGAAAAAGCUUGCCAAUCCAUUAGGGCAUGAAAACUAGACACCUUGCAGAGAUAACAUCAAAAUAAGUAAAAUCAGUAUCUUAAGGAACUAUUUAAAAGGAAUUCCCAGAGAGCAAAAAAUAGAAUUACAAAGUUCAGAAAAAGUAGGAAAAAAAAAAAAAAGAGAGAGAGAGAGACGGAAAACCCAAAGAACAGAAGAUGAACAGGUGUUUCAGAAAAUGGAAAGCACAAAAUCAACACAUUAAUGAAAUAACUGAUGAAACCAUCAGUGUGGAAGCUGAGUGUGGUAUAUAUCCCUAUAAUUCCAGCACUGUGGAAGACUGAGGCAGGAGGAUUGAAAAUUUGAGCUCAGUGUGGGCAAUUUAGUGAGACCCUGUUUGAAAAUAAGGUCUGAGGAUAAAGCUCAGUGUGAUGGUCCUGGUUCAAUCCAGCACAAGAGAAAAAGUCCCUGGAUUAUAGAUUUUUAUUUGUUUGUUUCCAUAGCUAAAGGCGUAAGUGUUCAACAAAGUGUAUAAAAAGGAUCCAUACAAGGAUUAGUGCUUUGAACUUUGAGAAUAAUGAGGACAGACCUAAAAGCUUUCAGAAGGGACAGAUGAUAUGGCUCAGUGGUAGCAAGCAUGCUUAGCAUACUCAAAGCCUUGGGUUUGAUCCACAGCACCAGCACCAUCAAAAAAACCCCCAGAUUUUUGAAGAAUCAUACAAAAGUUCAGACAUCAGGUGUGUGGUGGCAAACUGCUGUAAUCCCAGUGGCUUAUGAGGAUGAGGCAGUUCUCCAGUUGCCUGGACACCACCACACCUACAACUUGCAAGAUUUAAUUCUGCUCAUGAUUUCUGUCCAAUCAGCUGACUGCAAGGCAGGAACAUAGUAGUAGAGGACAAACAGGAAAGCAGCAAUACUAGAAAAGGAACAAGGGACCAGAUGUUGACCCAGGGUCACACCUUUGUGAUUCACCUAGACAUCCCCGAAAGAGCACUUUACCAGUCCUGGGGCAGGUUCACUCUAACUGCUGUACUACCCCACCACCUAGGGUCUUAGUUGUGACCUGUUCCUCACAGCCUGUCACUAACCCAUUCAGAACUCUCAGGGAGCUACAGGACAACCAAGCAUCCACCAGUUUCUUCCUGCAUCCUGUACAUUAGAAGCAGCACUGCUCACUUUACAGGUCUGUGCCUGCUACUGUAUUGCUGUGUUCAAUCCAUUGUAAGUGUUAGAGUUUACAAGGGAAUAGAUUUGAUACAGGAUACAUACUUUAUGAUAAUUUUAUAAUAUUCACUCUAAAAGUCAAAUGCAGAAGAGCACAAGAAAUCUGUCCACACACUGGAAACCCAAAAAAUUCAACUGCUGGCCUGGAUCCCAUGGCAAUGUCCUGCACAAGUCCAGCUGAAAACAUGGAGCGCACGGCAGUGUUCUCUACAAGUGCAGCUACAGGGAUUUAGCUCAGUGGCACAAGUAGCUACCUGUCAAGUGCGAGGUCAUGAGUUUGAUCCCUGGUACCAAAAAUAAAUAACAAAUGAACAAAAGUGAUUUUCUUAUUGUAAGUUGUUUAUUAUAAGGUAAUUUAUAAACAUCUUGCUGUCUUUAGUAAUUCAAACAGUGGACCACGUUUCUUCUGACAAAAACAGCAGUAAGCUAAAAACAAAAUCAACUUGCUGAAUUUUCUUCUUUACCUGAAAAAGAAAGUACAGUACAAGUAAAAAUCAAACUUUAGUUUUGGGGGUGAAAAUAAUAUUAAGAGGUAACAUUUAAAUGGGGUAUAAAGAACUAAAAAUAUUUAUAAAAUGUCCCAGUAGUUCUCAGAUUUGGGGCUGUGGACCCAUUCAUGGGUUCAUAAGAAUACUGUUGUCUGAUAUUCUUGUUGUUUUCACAGAGUACACAAUUACUUUGCUCAAGAUAUAUGACAUCACAAGAAAAUAGGUAAAGAGUCGAGAAUCUAGGUGCUUCUUUUAAAUUAGACAUUAAAGGGAUCUGAGACCAUUCAGUUUGAGAACCACCUUCACUAAACUACAAUUAAUAUUUCAAGAUAAUGCUCUCUAUCCUUAAAGCUUAUAUCCUACAUUUAUAUUUUCUACGACCAAUGUAUUUAAUAAAUGCAAACAAACAAAAUCCACUAGUACUGCCCAUGUGCAUCCAUUAAUAGUGCAUCCACUUUAUAGCUGCUGCUAUAAAUUGGCCUACCAAUCUGAAAUCUCUUAGAGAAGCAUUUUCUUUCUUUCAUUCUUUUUUUUUUUUUUUUGGUCUUUUUGAGACAGGGUCUCACCAUGCAGCUCAGGCAGGCCUUGAGCUUACUUUGUAGCCCUAGGUUGGUCUUGAACUUACAACAGUCUUCCUGCCUCAGCCUCCCAAGUGCUGGGAUUACAGGCGUGUGCCACCAUGCCCGGCUUAGAAAAGCAGUUUUGUUAUUGCUAAAUUAACUUCAGUUAUAUUUGUCUAGGUUUCCUUUCUGAAGGUGAAUGGGAAGGGUGAGUGAACUUUACCUCUUGUCUGAGGAUGGAACUUGACUUUCAUUAAUCCCUGGUUAUUAUAUUAGAAGAAAAACACAAAACAAGCAGGUCAAGAGGCAUCCCAUGCAAGUUAAUCACAGUCAUUUCUUUAGAUGCUACCUUAAGUAUAUCAUAUAAAUACUUAACCAUAACAUUCCUUUAAAACCAUCUCAAUGAUAUAAAAAGUUAUAGAUUCCAGUCUGGUUAGAAGCAAUAAAAAUAUAUUCAUGCAAAUAGGUAGGCUGAAGAUAUAAUUUAAAUUACUAUUUUUUCUAUAAGGAACAUACAUUAAGAGAUUUGAAACUGGUAUACUUGUCACCAAAUAUUAUGAUUAAUCACGCUUUUAAUUUUACUACUAGUAAUAUGUAUCAGCAUUAAAUAUUAAAAUUUCAAAUCAUAAAAAUAAACAGGUUACAAAGCACGUAAGUCCACUCAUAUAAAUAAUACAACCUUAGACUACACAACUAACUUUAAAAAUAAGGAAGCAGACUACUUUUCUAGACAGUGAAAAUUUAAUAGGUAAUUUUCAGUUGUCUGAAUUCCUUUUUCUAAAUAAUAGUUUUAUGUCCUAAUUCCCCCACCCUCUCAUUUCCCUUGAUUUUGUUACUUUUAGUAAGAUUUCUACUCUCUUAAUCAAGAAAGAAGAGCCUGGUCCUGAGUUUUGCAGAACUUGUAUCCUACAGUCCAAACCUAAUACUGGUUUUGCAAAAGCCAAAAAGAACUAUGAUUUCUCUGGAUUCGUCACAGUCCCUAGGCCUUCUCAAAUUUAGCAUCCAAGCAGAAAUCAGCCUAACAACAGCACAGGACUUAACAGUGACUAGCUUUGUCUGUUUAAGGUGACAAAGCCUCACUACAGAGUCUCAACCAAGCCAACCAUGCUGGACAUCAUGAAACAUCAUGAAACAAUAUUUAAGACACCAAUAGAACACUUGUGCACAGAUCAAGUGAUUGGAUUCUCCUAAGAAAACCAUGCUUAGGAAACAAUGUAAGAGAAGGAAAAAUGCUUACGAUUGCAGAGCUGAUGAGGUCGACUAGCAACUUACACAAUAACCUCCAUUGGCUCAAUUAGGUUUUUUUGUUGUUUUGUUUUGUUUUUUUGAAACAGGGUUUCACUAUGCAGUUCAGGCUGGCCUCAAAAUCACAGCAGUCAAAAGAAAAAAAAAAAAGCACAGCAGUCCUGCCUCAGCCUCCUAGAUGCUGGGAUUACAGGCGUGUGCCAUCAUGCCUGGCUUUCAGUUAGUUUUAGAACGAGAUCCUACCCUAGUCUCAAGCAUAUGAUCAAAUUAAAAGGCAAUUCCUGAAAUAAUGUAAGAAGUGUAAAAAUAACAGAGGCACUGGGAUAAGAAUACCUUGCUCAAACAUGAAGGAGUGUCUGGUAGAAGAAAAGGUUCCCCUAACCCAGUUAGGAAGGGUAAGUAGGAGGCUCUCAGAUGAAUCAAAGCAAGAGAAAGGAAAGAGAAAGGAAUCAAAGCAAAAGAACAGUUACAAUCCCAGGACUCUGGGAGGCUAAGCAGGAUGAUUACAGUUUAGUCCAGCCUGGGCAAUUUAGUGACUUAGCAGGAUCGUGAUUUCAAAAAGUACAAAAAAGUUUGAAGUCCCGGGCACCUCCUUGGAGAUGAGAGAAGAAUUGGAGCAGAUUUGGAGACCUAGAUGUAGAUCAAGGUGGCUGAGGAUUAAGUAAGCCAGAAAUGGUGAGGGAUUAGACUGAAAAGAGUACUGAUGGCCAGAAAAUAUAUGCCCACAUACAUGAAGCUAGGCUGUUUCUGUAGAACCAUCAUAUUCUAAAGAACAAGUUCUGUUACUUUCUUCAUAAUAUACUCUCAAAGAUCAGCAAUUUUCUUUUCUGUGAAUACUGUAGUUUAGGCCCAUGGGUCACAUACUGCUGCCCCUUCCCUACUUUAAUAAACUUUUCAAAUGUAGCUCUGUGCUACAGUUUGCUGUGUAAUUUAUUAUUUAGUUAUUUGUCUUCUCAGUUAAGACUUAGCUCCCAGAAAACAAAGACUGUCAGCAUUAUAGCUUCAGUAUCUAGUACAUGACCAAUUAGGAAGAAGUAAGAUGGAAUGAAUCAAAGAUAACUCACUAUACAUUUUAUCUUUCAUCAGUUACCCUGUGCUUUCUCAACCUAUUGAAAGAGAAUCAAAUCCUAAACAUUGUGCCCAGCAUUGCACUCUGCACAUAUUCAACUUACUAACUUUUGAAUGAAAUUGUCAUGAUGUUACCUUUUGUUUCACAAACAUUAACAAUGUCUUAACAAUCACAACAUUUUCUUGAGGAAAGCUGUAUUAUCUUAUAGUUCUAAUAUAGGGAAAAUGAUUUUAAAAAUUCCUGGACCCUAACACUAUUAAGUGGUUUAAAAAACCAAAUGUAAAAGUAGUCCUAAAAUUCAGACAGCGUGGUCUGCAAUGCUUUAAAUUCCAAAGACAGACAUACAAAUGGUACUGAAUUAUUUACAUCUUUAUUUCUAACACUUUAGGAAAGUGAAAGCUAACAAUAUACUGAUCCCUAAAAAGAAGAGAAGCCUCAACGUUUCAGUUGAAACAAUCAGAAUAAACCAGAGAGCCUAAAGAGUCAAGAUUCAGCAAUGAAUCCUUUUCACUUUAACAAACACAAAAAACAGAAAACAUCUGCAUGCAAAGGUUAAAGGUGCACAAAGGAGACGAGAAAACACCCAAGGGUAACAAUUCAGUUACUCACAGAGCUGCUGCACCAGAGAUGAUCUCAAUCAACUCUUUGGUGAUGACGGCUUGGCGAGUGCGAUUGAAUGUCAAAGUCAAUUUAUCAAUCAUCUCAGCUGCAAAUAAAACACAAAGACUGGAUGACAAAAUCCAAAAGCAGAAGAGAACAACUAGUUAACCAACCUUGUUGCUUAAUGUAAAGGAAGAGCUGGACCAGUGGUAUACAUAUGUAAUCCUAGCCCUGUAGGAGGCUGAGGAUGGCAAGCUCAAGCCCAGCCAACACAAUUUUGUGAGAUCUGUCUCAGAACAAAAAUUGAAGGAAUAAAAAAAGUGUGAAUUUAGCUUAGUGCAAAAGCCACGGAUCAAAUCAAUCUCCAGUACCACAAAAAGAGAAAAAAAGACAAUUUCUUUUUGGAUUCCCAAAGUGGCCUUUCAGAACCAAGUUUAUACAAAGAUCUUUCACAGGCUUUUCACAUUCUUACAAGUCUACUACCUAUGAAGUAAGAUAUAUUCUCUGAGGCACAGAAUACUUGGUUAGCAUUUUUAAAACUACUCCGAGGAAGACACUCAGCAGAGAAACACUGUGAGCUUCCACCAGUGCUCCCUGGUGCUGGCCCUGUGCCAAGUGACCCAGCCAGUGUUAGCGCAGUCACCAUAGCGCACUUACAAGCGUUCUUGCUAGCAUUGUCCAUCGCUGUCAUCCUGGCACUCUGCUCACUGGUGGUAGAUUCCUUCAGGGAGUAGUAGAUAAUGUUGGCCAGACUGUACUCUUGGUAAUUCUGCAGCACAUCGGCAUCAAUAUCAUCAUAGAUGCUCAUGCUCUCUGUUAAAAGAAGUUCAAGUUAAAUGGGGCAGGGGCUGGGGAUUUAGCUCAGCGGCAUAAGCGCCUGCCUUGCAAGCAGGCAGUCGUGAGUUCGAUCCCUGGUACGGACAAAAAACGAAAAAGACCAAAAAAAAAAAGUUCAAUGGGGCAAAGACUGAUUUCAUCAGGAACAACUCACUACUACAAAAAUUCUUAUAUAGCAGAAACCAUUUUAAGGUAAGUCAAAUAGGGGCUGUGGAUUUAGCUUAGCAGCAUAAGUGCCUUCUUGGCAAGUGCAAGGUCGUGAGUUUGAUCCCUGGUACCACAAAAAAAAAAAAGUCAAACAA